rnacentral:rRNA from 1 species
CCAGCCUUCUGAAAGGAAGAUUAAUCCAGGAUGGGAUCAUGAGUUCACAUGUCCGCAUGAUUAAAGGUAUUUUCCGGUAGACGAUGGGGAUGCGUUCCAUUAGAUAGUAGGCGGGGUAACGGCCCACCUAGUCAACGAUGGAUAGGGGUUCUGAGAGGAAGGUCCCCCACAUUGGAACUGAGACACGGUCCAAACUCCUACGGGAGGCAGCAGUGAGGAAUAUUGGUCAAUGGGCGAUGGCCUGAACCAGCCAAGUAGCGUGAAGGAUGACUGCCCUAUGGGUUGUAAACUUCUUUUAUAAAGGAAUAAAGUCGGGUAUGCAUACCCGUUUGCAUGUACUUUAUGAAUAAGGAUCGGCUAACUCCGUGCCAGCAGCCGCGGUAAUACGGAGGAUCCGAGCGUUAUUCGGAUUUAUUGGGUUUAAAGGGAGCGUAGAUGGAUGUUUAAGUCAGUUGUGAAAGUUUGCGGCUCAACCGUAAAAUUGCAGUUGAUACUGGAUGUCUUGAGUGCAGUUGAGGCAGGCGGAAUUCGUGGUGUAGCGGUGAAAUGCUUAGAUAUCACGAAGAACUCCGAUUGCGAAGGCAGCCUGCUAAGCUGCAACUGACAUUGAGGCUCGAAAGUGUGGGUAUCAAACAGGAUUAGAUACCCUGGUAGUCCACACGGUAAACGAUGAAUACUCGCUGUUUGCGAUAUACGGCAAGCGGCC